UUAGCAGCUGCAAUUACAUCAGCAGCUCUUCCGGUAACGGGACCUUCUUGAAGCACAUGAGUAUGAGCGACCACAGCAAUAAACCCAUCAAUAUGACAACCCAAAUCAAUCUUAACCAUAUCGCCCUCUUCCAACAGUGUCUCGUCACUGGAAAGCGGUGAGAAGUGACAUACAGUAUUGUUAACAGAAAUGCAAGUUGGAAAAGCAACGCCUCUUUCAAUCUUCUUCUUAACAUUCUUGUACAUAUUGCCAGUUUGUUCCCUAAUGAAGGAAUCCCCUUUCUCGCAAAUGUCAACAAUCUUUGCUUUUGGUUUGCAUUCCGAUAUCACCAACUGUAAUGCCUUGUUGACAAUCUCAGCGGCG
rnacentral:misc_RNA from 1 species